AUUGAACGCUGGCGGCAGGCCUAACACAUGCAAGUCGAACGGUAACAGGGAUCAGCUUGCUGAUUCGCUGACGAGUGGCGGACGGGUGAGUAAUGUCUGGGAAACUGCCUGAUGGAGGGGGAUAACUACUGGAAACGGUAGCUAAUACCGCAUAACGUCGCAAGACCAAAGAGGGGGACCUUCGGGCCUCUUGCCAUCGGAUGUGCCCAGAUGGGAUUAGCUAGUAGGUGGGGUAACGGCUCACCUAGGCGACGAUCCCUAGCUGGUCUGAGAGGAUGACCAGCCACACUGGAACUGAGACACGGUCCAGACUCCUACGGGAGGCAGCAGUGGGGAAUAUAGCACAAUGGGCGCAAGCCUGAUGCAGCCAUGCCGCGUGUAUGAAGAAGGCCUUCGGGUUGUAAAGUACUUUCAGCGGGGAGGAAGGGAGUAAAGUUAAUACCUUUGCUCAUUGACGUUACCCGCAGAAGAAGCACCGGCUAACUCCGUG
rnacentral:rRNA from 1 species